GGCGUUUCUUCACUCAGAUUUCUUGUAUAAUACGAAUUAAAGCCCUCCAUUGCCUCUGAGAAGUUACCAACGCUGAAUGCUUUCACAUGAGCAAGUGAGAUAUGAUAUGAAUGGGUGGCACCACAGAAACACAGAAUACAGUCAUUCAGUUCCUGGGACAACAGAGAAUGGAACGAUAUUGACUGCUUUGGAGAUAGACAUGCUUUUGGGCAUCAACAGGCAUUUUACUGUAAUCUACAGGCAGCUUCUUAUGAAGCCAGUGGACUAAAAGUGGAUCCAUGUUAUGGUCACAAGGAACCUGGAGCAUGGGGCACAAGGUACACCCUGGACAGGGAGCCAUUCACAUACACAUUCACACACUAUGAACACAUGCCAAUCAGCCUACCAUGCAAGUCUAUGGACUGGGACUGGGAAACCGGAAUACCCGGAGGAAACCCCUCGCAGCAUGGAGAGAACAUGCACACACAGUGCAGCGGCAGGAAUUGAACCCCUAACCCUGGUGUGUGGCGAACGUGCUAACCACUAACCCACUGUGCACCCAUGAACAUCAAUGUUACAGCAAUAUAUUCAACAAUUUCUUCAAUUUAUUCCUUACUGAUUUAUUCCUUACUGAUUUUGGACAGUCACCUAAAAUUGGAGUUAGUUACAGGAUAUUUGUCCAUCUUAAACGUCUCGACUUUCACAGCUCUGGCAGGAGAUUCGCCGUCUCGGCCAUCAGCA